GAAGACGACGACGUUGAUAGGCCGGGUGUGUAAGCGCAGCGAUGCGUUGAGCUAACCGGUACUAAUGAACCGUGAGGCUUAACCUUACAACGCCGAAG
rnacentral:rRNA from 10 species